rnacentral:rRNA from 1 species
UUUUUAAUCCAGUUGGUUAGAAUUUAUUGACGGGUAGUAUAAGAAACUGGUGUUACGUUGUGAUAAAUUAGUCGUUUGCUUUUAUAUCUGUUUACUGUUUUUGAUUUCGUUUUAUUUAUGGGGCAGAGAGGUCCCAUAGUGUUAUACAUGUUAUAUUUGUUUAUUAGUUAACAGGGUUAAAAUUACCCCAUUAUUUGAGUCUUGUUACAAUUUAUUUCACUAUUAUGGUUACAUUAUCUUUAGAUAACAGUUAUAUUUAAUGAUUUGUUAUAUAUAUGAUACAACGAGUAAUGAAAUAAAUUGUGUUGUUUCUCAAGUAUAUUCCGUCUGUUUAUUAAAAACAUUUCUAUAAUAAAAUUUUUAUAGUAAGGCCUGCUCGAUGUUUAAUUAUCAAUGGCCGCAGUAUUUUGACUGUGCGAAGGUAGCAUAAUUAAUUGCCCCUUAAUUAGGGGCUUGUUUGAAUGGCUUGACGUGGUUGUUGCGAACAUCAUUUUUAUUUUUGAAAUUAAUUCUGAGGGUACAGAAUCCUCUUAUAUUAAUUAGACGGAAAGACCCCGGGAUCUUUGGUUUUGCCUGGGGCAGGUUAUAUUAUUUCAAUUCUGUAUUAUGAUCUUUUUUUAGGCUUAUUGAAUUAAGUUACCCCGGGGAUAACAGUGUAAUAAUUUAUUAGAGACCUUAUCGAUUAAAUUGCUUGCCACCUCGAUGUUGACUUAGGUAAAUAACAGGGCGCAGUAGUUUUGUUAU